rnacentral:tRNA from 1 species
GCGGAUGUAGCCAAGUGGAUCAAGGCAGUGGAUUUGUGAU